rnacentral:lncRNA from 1 species
GCCCCACGCAAGUGUCCGAGCGCCUCGCGGGCUGCACAGCGGGGAGGGUCCCUCCCGAGGGCGACGAGGCGGGGGCGGAGGUGAGCGGGGACCGAGGUCUGGGUUCCCUCUCCCCCCGGCGCUCCGGGCUCCCCGCCCUUCGGGGGACGGAGGCGUAGUCCGGUGGCGAAGUUUGGCUGGUGCAAUUAUUAUUAUCAGCAUCUAGAAAGCAUCACACGGAGCAUUGACCUUCAUGCUGCAUUGUUCUUACUGGAUCCUCCUAUCCGUGAACAUUAUGCCAAGUACCAAUACAGCAUCAAGUCAUUUCUGGAUGGAAAGUUUUCAAACUUCUUCAUUUGGAGUUACUUAAACGUGAGGGUGUUGGGAUUUUUGAGGAUGCCUUCCCUAUGUGGAUUAUUACAGUUUGAUGACUGAUUCUCUGCCUCAAAGAAGAUUAUUUUGCUAUCUGGAAACUCAUGCCCACCUCUUUGACUUCGGGUCAAAAUUGCUUUCCUCACAGUCUGACUGGGAAAGUUGUAAAACAUUAGAAUGUCCUUCAGCGGUGGGCUGUGGAAUGUCAUUACUCUCAGGUGACUACGGAAGCAUUAGCACCCUGCAUGCUCAGGUGGCCCCCACUCCUACGGACACAGCUCUUUCACCUAUACGGUUUUCUUCUGUAUUUCCUGAUAUAAGUCUCCCCCUGACCCCACUGGAAUGCAUGGAUUUGCAUUUGUUCUUCCAGGAGUGUCUAACUGGAUGUCCUCUGCAAAUUCAUCAAAUGUGCCAUCUUUUCCAUCAUGUGGUCAUCCCUGGGAUCAUCAUCGAACAUCGUUCUCCACCACUCUGGUCCAUGGAUGGUUGUUCUCUUUUGUCCAUUCCAUCAAAUGUCCUGAACACUGUCAGAAGAGGGAAAAGGCUAAUGGAGCUGUUAAGUCUAAGUAUGACUGCCAAGAUGAAUCCAAAAAAGCCAAAGAGCCUGAGCAUGUCAGACCUUCCUGCAGCCUGCCACACACACUUAAAACCCCAGGGAAAUGAGUGCGGCUCAGGAGGGGGGAAGAGCGCCAACCAGUCAGAUUGCUCAAUCCCAAGACAAAGAACUCGUGGAUCAUGGGCUAGAAAAAAGGGUUAA